rnacentral:rRNA from 1 species
GCAGCCUGCAACUCGGCUGCAUGAAGCUGGAAUCGCUAGUAAUCGCGGAUCAGAAUGCCGCGGUGAAUACGUUCCCGGGUCUUGUACACACCGCCCGUCACACCAUGGGAGUCGGGAAUGCCCGAAGUCAGUGACCCAACCGAAAGGGGGAGCUGCCGAAGGCAGGCCUGGUAACUGGGGUGAAGUCGUAACAAGGUAUC